CCAAACCCAAUAGCUUCCUCAUUCUCUCAAGUCCCAAGUUCCUAGGGUUCUAACUUUUUCAUUUUCCUUUUUGCUUUGUGAAGGUUGGGGAAUUAAGAAGAUGGCUGCAAGCUUUGCUUCCAGAUGCUUUAGGGUGGGCCGCUCGUUGAUGGAUGGCCUUCAAAACAACUUCUCUAAUUUACCAAGCACAUCAAGAGAGAUGAUAUGUGGAAGUUUCCUGUAUCAGCAACAAAGGACUUUUAUACAGAUGAGAACUGUUCUCAAAGUAGUGGACAACUCCGGGGCAAAAAAGGUGAUGUGCAUACAACCAUUGAAGGGGAAGAAAGGGGCAAGAUUGGGAGACACCAUAAUUGCAUCUGUAAAAGAGGCCAUGCCUAAUGGAAAGGUGAAGAAAGGGAAGGUGGUAUAUGGUGUGGUUGUGCGUGCUGCCAUGCAGCGAGGUCGUUGUGACGGGAGUGAGGUCAAGUUUGAUGACAAUGCUGUUGUUCUUGUUGACAAGCAAGGCCAGCCGAUAGGGACCAGAGUUUUCGGCCCAGUCCCACAUGAGCUGAGGCAGAAAAAGCAUGUCAAGAUCCUCACUUUGGCAGAGCACAUUGCCUGAAGCAUGGAUCAAGUCCCCGCCAAACAUUUGAGUUUUUUAGCUGCCCUAGCAUUUAGAUGUUUUUAUGUUGUCCCGAAAACAGAAAAAUACAGAAAGAGGCAAGAUGAAUCUGUCGUUUUUUCCCUUUUCCGAUCGUAGACAACGAUGUGUAGCUGUUUGCCUGAUUUUCAAUGGGAAUGCAACAUAUCUGAUCAGACAAAGUUGCAUUCAUGGUCUCGUGCUGUUUUCACCUGGUUGAAUGAUUAGGAAAUCCUCACAAGAGUUUCUUUGUAGAAACGAAAGAAAUUAU